rnacentral:rRNA from 1 species
AUUGAACGCUGGCGGCAGGCCUAACACAUGCAAGUCGAGCGAGCGGCGGACGCGUGUGUAAUGUCUGGGAAACUGUCCGAUGGAGGGGGAUAACUACUGGAAACGGUAGCUCAUACCGCAUACCCUCUGAUGUGCGCCGAUGGGAUAAGCUAGUAGGUGGGGUAAAGGCUCACAUAGGCGACGAUCCCUAGCUGGGCUGAGAGGAUGACCAGCCACACUGGAACUGAGACACGGUCCAGACUCCUACGGGAGGCAGCAGUGGGGAAUAUUGCACAAUGGGCGCAAGCCUGAUGCAGCCAUGCCGCGUGUAUGAAGAAGGCCUUCGGGUUGUAAAGUACUUUCAGCGGGGAGGCGUUACCCGCAGAAGAAGCACCGGCUAACUCCGUGCCAGCAGCCGCGGUAAUUC